rnacentral:hammerhead_ribozyme from 1 species
AUCCAGCUGAGGAGUCUCAAAUAGGAUGAAACGCACGUCCUGGAU